GUCUUUUUGAGUAUAAUUUAAAGUCUGACCUGCCCAAUGAAAAUUUAAAUGGCCGCGGUAAUUUGACCGUGCAAAGGUAGCAUAAUCAUUAGUUUUUUAAUUGAAAGCUGGAAUGAAUGGUCGGACGAGAAGAUAACUGUCUCAAUUUAAUUUAAUUUAGAAUUUUAUUUAUAAGUUAAAAAGCUUAUAUAUUUUUAAAAGACGAGAAGACCCUAUAGAAUUUUAUAUGCAAGUAUAUUAAUUAUUUUUAGAUUUUAUAUUAAUUAAUAUGAUGAAUAUUUUGUUGGGGUGAUGGAAAAAUUUAAUAAACUUUUUUUUUAUUAAAUCAUUAAUGUAUGAAUUAUUGAUCCAUUUUUUAUGAUUAUAAGAUUAAAUUACCUUAGGGAUAACAGCGUAAUUUUUUUUUAGAGUUCCUAUCGAAAAAAAAGUUUGCGACCUCGAUGUUGGAUUAAAAUUAACUUUUGGUGUAGGGGCUAGAAAGUUAGGUCUGUUCGACCUUUAAAAUUUUACAUGAUCUGAGU
rnacentral:rRNA from 1 species